rnacentral:rRNA from 1 species
AGAGAUACUAGCCCCGGUUAACGGGGAGGAAGGUGGGGAUGACGUCAAGUCCUCAUGGCCCUUAUGCCCAGGGCUACACACGUGCUACAAUGGGCGGUACAAAGGGUAGCGAUGCCGCGAGGUGAAGCCAAUCCCAAAAAGCCGUCCACAGUUCGGAUUGGAGUCUGCAACUCGACUCCAUGAAGCCGGAAUCGCUAGUAAUCGUGGAUCAGCAUGCCACGGUGAAUACGUUCCCGGGCCUU